UCGCCUCCCCCCGAGAGUGGGGUAGGUGCGUGACGCGAGGCGUGCGUACCCCGCCCUGUACUGGGGGGGUGGGGCUGCCGCCUCGCGCCCUCAGGCUGAGGGGAGGCGAAAGUGGCCUUCGAGGCCCCGUCCCCAGGGCGAUGAGGGCUAAGCCCUCAGCUCCUGGAGUCCCCUGCUGAGGGCAGAGGUGCCGCUUCCCAGCCCCCAGUUAUAGCUGGCAACAAGGCCUGAGUCUGCAGAGAGCCUGGUGCGGUAGCUGAGAGAGGUGACCACCCCUGGCCCUGAAACAUCUCAGAACUGACUUCUCUGAUCCUCCAGUUGCAGAAGACAGUCUCACAAUGGGGGACAGAACACACUUUCUGAUUGAGGCCUUGCAUAUCAAGGAAAACAGUCCCACCCUUGAUCAGCAGCACCGGAACAGCAUGACCUUUACAGAACCAGCAGCAGCAACCUGUUUUGUUUGGGCUGUGCGGAUGCAUCUUGCAAAGACCUCUAGUGGACAUCUGAAGCAGCACACCAGAUAAAAUGCCAUCUGGUAUAAUGGAAUAGACAAGGACUGCUUCCUUAGAAGAGGAGUGUGCGAGAGAGAUCACCCUGAGGAGAGUCUCACGGGCAGAGAGAGCGCGCAUGCUG